AACGAACGCUGGCGGCGCGCCUAAUACAUGCAAGUCGAGCGAGAAGACGUAGCAAUACGUUUGUAAAGCGGCGAACGGGUGAGGAAUACAUGGGUAACCUACCCUCGAGUGGGGAAUAACUAGCCGAAAGGUUAGCUAAUACCGCGUACGCUCCUUGGACUUCGGUUCAGGGAGGAAAGCGAUACCGUGGGUAUCGCGCUCUUGGAUGGGCUCAUGUCCUAUCAGCUUGUUGGUGAGGAACGGCUCACCAAGGCUUCGACGGGUAGCUGGUCUGAGAGGACGAUCAGCCACACUGGCACUGCGACACGGGCCAGACUCCUACGGGAGGCAGCAGUAAGGAAUAUUGCGCAAUGGGCGAAAGCCUGACGCAGCGACGCCGCGUGGGGGAUGAAGGUCUUCGGAUUGUAAACCCCUUUCGGGAGGGAAGAUGGAACGAGCAAUCGUUCGGACGGUACCUCCAGAAGCAGCCACGGCUAACUUCGUGCCAGCCGCCGCCGU
rnacentral:rRNA from 1 species